rnacentral:rRNA from 1 species
GAGUUUGAUCCUGGCUCAGAGUGAACGCUGGCGGCGUGCCUAAUACAUGCAAGUCGAACGAUGAAGCUUCUAGCUUGCUAGAAGUGGAUUAGUGGCGCACGGGUGAGUAAUGCAUAGGUUAUGUGCCCUUUAGUCUGGGAUAGCCACUGGAAACGGUGAUUAAUACUAGAUACUCCCUACGGGGGAAAGUUUUUCGCUAAAGGAUCAGCCUAUGUCCUAUCAGCUUGUUGGUGAGGUAAUGGCUCACCAAGGCUAUGACGGGUAUCCGGCCUGAGAGGGUGAUCGGACACACUGGAACUGAGACACGGUCCAGACUCCUACGGGAGGCAGCAGUAGGGAAUAUUGCUCAAUGGGGGAAACCCUGAAGCAGCAACGCCGCGUGGAGGAUGAAGGUUUUCGGAUUGUAAACUCCUUUUGUUAGAGAAGAUUAUGACGGUAUCUAACGAUAAGCACCGGCUAACUCCGUGCCAGCCGCCGCGGUAAC